rnacentral:rRNA from 1 species
UACGGAGGGGGCUAGCGUUGUUCGGAAUUACUGGGCGUAAAGCGCACGUAGGCGGACCUGCAAGUCGGGGGUGAAAGCCCGGAGGCUCAACCUCGGAACUGCCUUCGAUACUGCGGGUCUCGAGUCCGGGAGAGGUGAGUGGAAUUCCGUAGUGUAGAGGUGAAAUUCGUAGAUAUUAGGAAGAACACCAGUGGCGAAGGCGGCUCACUGGCCCGGUACGUGACGCUGAGGCGCGAAAAGCGUGGGGAGCAAACAGG